GCUUCUAAAGGAUAACAGUUCAUCCGCUGGUCUUAGGAACCAGAGACUCUUGGCGCAAAUCCAAGUAGUAGCU
rnacentral:tRNA from 1 species